GCGUGUGUAGCCCAGUGGUGGUGUGUGUGUGCGUGAAGGCACACGUGGUGGGUUCGAACCCCACCAUGCCCU
rnacentral:tRNA from 1 species